ACAGGGAAGCACGCUGGUGCCUGGCCUCACUGCCCGUCAUCUUCCACAAUGCUGUGGCAGGGCCAGCAGGGACAGGAGCCGGGGCCCUCGCCUGCAAGACCUCCUGCCCAGGCAGCUGGCCCGCCCACUCCUGCUCCCACCGGGACCCACGCUCCUCUGCAGAUUCCCAGAGCUCGGCCCUGGGUUUGGAUCUGCACACAGGACGCCUCGGCUGGCUUCUUCCCAGCGGUGUCUGCACGAGUCGGAUUCCCCGUCCUCGCCAGCAGGAUCGCACCUGGACGUGUGAGGAUGGAGCCCGCACCUGGACAGGCGCGCUGCACGGUACACAUCAAGACGGAGAUUCCAACCCCAACUAAGGAGAGCAAGCAUCCCGGGGCAGGGGCGGCUGCGGGCGCGCUUUUCCUGAACGGAGCACGGUUCGGGCAAGCAGGAGUGGGGCGAGGUCGGCGCCGGGCCCCCUGGCAGCAACGCCAGCCGUGGCCCGCGGCCGGCACCUGCGGGGUGCGGAGCCCUCCCCCUGCCCAACAGCUCGGAGCGCCGCCUUCCUCUCCAGCUCCCCGCUGCGCCAGGCGCGCGUCUGAGGACGGGAAGCGGCCCCCGGCCCGGAUUUCCCGCGGGUGGGGCCGCCGUGACCUCACCCCCGCCCCGUUUCCUUGUUUGCGUUUCUCCUCCAGGCCACGUGGCGGCCGGGGAUAAGAACCCCGGAACCCUUGCCCGGCCGCCCCCUCUCAUGGCCCCCUCCCACCUGGUCGGGUAGCCUUCCCCCCCCCCCCCGGAGAGAGGACACAAGCUCUGGCCUCCGUGGGCCCGAAUGGCUCCGCGUUGCCGGGCAGGACCUGACCCAGCUGCGGCCAAGCGCCCGCCGGGAGGUCCCUGAAGGUGGAAGGGGGCCGGACGGGGAGGAGCCGAGGGGCGGGCGCAGCGGACGCCCGCAGCCGCGAGCCGGGGCCGCCGGGUCCCGAGCGUCCAGCAGUCCCGGGGCUGGAGAUCCGCGGCAUUCCGGCGACGGGGACCGGAGGAGCCCGCCUGCACCCCGCGCGCGCAGGGGCGGUGCCUCCUGCUGACCCGCCCAGCGCUUGGAGGAGGUGGUUCUGCUGGGCGGUGAGGCCGCGGUCCCGCCGCUGCUGUCCAUGGCUGUCCACCUUCCUUCUCAAGUCACAGGUGGGCUGCUCAGGUGAGAGCCGCCUGCAAGUGGGCCGAGCCCGCGGCGCAGGUGGGCGGCCUCGCUGACCUGGCGCCGGGGGCGUAGC
rnacentral:lncRNA from 1 species